AAAACGGGCUUCUGCCGUGACUGGCACAUGCCAGGCAGCUCGUUUGUUCUGCAUGUGGAAUCGACACCAAAAGAUUUUGGAAGCAUAAAUUUUGGACUCCUGGGAAGCUGGUGAUCGUUAGUCCCGGGGCCUGA